rnacentral:rRNA from 1 species
UACUGGGAGUACUCUUUGGGUGGCGCAACUAACGCAUGAAGUUCUCCGCCUGGGGAGUACGGCCGCAAUAUUAAACCUCAGAGGAAUUGACGGAUCCUCUGAGGAAUUGACGGAAACUCAUAGGACUUGACGGGCUCUCAGAAGGAUUGGCGGGUCUGCUGAGGAAUCGCAAGGCUCAACCUCGGGUUGGCGGUGGGUACGGGCAGGCUAGAGUGCGGUAGGGGAGAUUGGAAUUCCUGGUGUAGCGGUGGAAUGCGCAGAUAUCAGGAGGAACACCAAUGGCGAAGGCAGAUCUCUGGGCCGUAACUGACGCUGAGGAGCGAAAGCAUGGGGAGCGAACAGGAUUAGAUACCCUGGUAGUCCAUGCCGUAAACGUUGGGAACUAGAUGUAGGGCCUGUUCCACGGGUUCUGUGUCGUAGCUAACGCAUUAAGUUCCCCGCCUGGGGAGUACGGCCGCAAGGCUAAAACUCAAA